rnacentral:tRNA from 1 species
GGGGCGGUAGUCUAGCUCGGCUAUGAUGUCUCGCUUACAUCUCGAUGGUCGCUGGUUCAAAUCCGGCCCGCCCCACCA